rnacentral:tRNA from 1 species
CUAAGAGAGAGAGAGAGAGAGAGAGAGAGAGAGAGAGAGAGAGAGAGCAAGCCUAGGGGACUGGGGGAAAACCGCAUCCCCUGUCAUGAGCUAGCCUUGGAAGCCAUGCAGUGUCCUGGGUCCCCUCAGGGAAGAGAGUACAUGCAGUGAAUGGAUGGGUGUUCACAUUAUGUUGCAUGUUGGCUAGAGGGUACUGUGGUGCCUGUAUUUGGAAACUAUAAUCUGCCACUGAUUGCCAACGAGCGGGAUGUUAGGAGGAUGGAGAAAGUGGAGGAAGCCCUUGGCCCACAUGCAGACAGCCGUGUAUAAAAUGAAGCAGCAGGUUAAAGGGUUCAGUAGAGCUGCCAUUGCAGUGAGAGGACGAGCCACAAAGAGCAGAGAGAAGCACAGAACACACAGUGCAGGAACACUGAACGCAGGCACCAACAACCAGGCCCCAGUAAUCCCUGGGCGUCUCACCAUCCAGCAGUGAGCUAAUGUUGAGCCCACACCCUCUGUUAAUAGGCAAGUGCAGGGGCUGGGGUGUGGCUCAGAGGUAGAGCGCUCCCCUAGCAUGUGUGGGGUACUGGGUUCGAUCCUCAGCACCACCCAAAAAUAAAAUCAAGAUAUUGUGUCUACCUAUAACUAAAAAAUAAAUAUUAAAAAAAAGGCAAGCACAGAGCUGUGAGCAGUGGUGUGGUGGCACAGGUCCGGAAUUCCAGCUGCUCACAAGGCUGAGGCAGGAGGGUUCUAAGUUCAAGGCCGGCCUCAGCAAUUUAGCAAGACCCUGUCUCAAAAUAUAAUGUAAAGGGCUGGAAGUAUAGCUCAGUGGCAGAGUAAUUGCCUAGUAUGCACCAGGCCUUGGGUUUGACCUCAGGAGAUUAAAAAAAAAAAGGCAGCUGUGGAGUGACAUAUUUUGGAAUGAUUGACAUCAGAAUGUAUUAAAAUACAUUUUUU